AUACUUAUAUAUCCAAACGCUCCCCUACCCCCUAUCGUCUCUCAUCUCUCUUUAGAGACUAACGAAUCGCCGCCCGCCGAAAAUUUCCCACGGCGGCAGCCGACGGCCAAUCACCUCCAAAAUCACAUCCCUAACUACUCUCCACCUCCCCAUCCUAAAUACAAAAACACCUCUUUUAAAAUCCCUCUGAAAUCCUUCAAAUUUUAGAAAAAAUAAACGAAACCCUACAGCGCCGCCCUGUUUUCCACCACCAUCCACCGGCGGCGCCGUCCCCAAACCCCCACCAAAAUAACACACUGAAACCUCUGCCCCUUCCUUUUCCCAAAUCUACCAGCAAAAUCCCCUAAAACACUUUCUAGUUUCUCGAAUUUUGAAUCUGAAAUAUUAAAGAAAAAAAACCUAGUUCUUCUAAGGUUGUUUCUUCGUCUUUUAGAGUUCAAUAUGACUCAAGGGUCGUGUUAACCAAGAGUUCCCAUCUAGAACCCUUGAUUAACACGAGUUUUUAGUCGAUUUUGAGAGCCGUAGCUACUUUGGUCGACCUUGCUUCUCCGCCUUCUGGGUCGUGUUUGGAUUCAACCACUAGGCCUCCUGGUUAGUCAGUAUCUCACCUUUUUUAUUUGAUUUUGUUUUUAUCUUUGUUUUAUUCUCUUUUAAUUUUCUAGUGAUUCUAAUGGUUUACCUGAAAAUAUUUGAAGGAAAUGGACAACUAUCCGUAAAUUAGUUUUAAAAGAUGCCUUGUGAGGGUAUUUUGGAAAUAUCUGAUUGUCUUACGUUGGAAGGCACACCACAGAUCCCCACCCCUAUAAAUGAAGUCUUCCUUUCACUCAAUACACAACUCUAAAAAGACGAAACGAUAAAAAGAAAUACUGAAUUCCAGAAUUAGUUGAUUUUCUUCUAAUAAAGUCCAAGAAAAAUGCUUAAAAUUGUUUGAAUUAGCUCUGGUUGUUUGGUUUGGCUCUCUGAACCUCCUGUGAAUUGAGAAUUUCUAGAAAACUUCUGAACUUGUUCAUUUGGUUAGAGAAAUGGUUUAAGCUUUGGUUUGGAGUUAGUUUUUUGAAGUUCUUCUACUGUUCCAUUGGUUUCUUUUGGGUUGUUCACUAUUUGAUUGGUCAAAAUAUGGGCUGAUUGCUACUGCAUACUGCUGAGCUCUCACUUUUUUCAUUUUGAUUCCUAGGUAUUUCUCCAUCCAUGAGCAAUAAGUAAAUGUUGACUAUGUGAUUCACGUGAAAAUUUGAUGAAAUGCAAGUUACAUUUAACUUAGUUUUCUUUCUAGUUCUCCUACUGUUUUCAAUGCUCUGUAGUAGUAGAUUUCUAAUUAUAAAUGUCAACUAGGCUUUCCCCAUCAUUACUUGUGUAUUUUGAAUCCAUGUAUGAGAGUGAUAUAUUCUGAAUCUAUGUUUGAGAAUAGGAGUAAAUAUGAGUUUGUAAUGACAAAUGAACUAUGGACAAUAGCUUUUUAGUUUUAUUUUUGAUUUGAUGUUCUAGGUCAAUGAUUUCUGUUUAGUUUCUGCAGAAGAUCAGUGAGGUUUUAGUUUUGAUGUUUAUCUGAAUUCAUUAAUAUGCUAAGUGUUGGCUUGUAUGUAUAUUGAUAUAUACAGAUUCUUUUGUGCAAGUAUGUUUUGUAUUUACAUUUGCUCGUGAAUGAAUUUAAAUGUCCAAUGAUUAUGUCGAAAGUUUUAGCAUGUUUUUCUGAGGGUUCAUGGGACAAUUUGAUUCUAAUUCGCAGGUUUGGUGUCUAUAGGUGUUAGGAGAAAUUCAAUUUAACUUAGUUAUGUUGAAAGGAUUCAUUGGUUGUCUAUUAUUGUUUGCAUGUCCAUUGAGCAGAUCUGGUUGUUUCAAGAUCAUGAUUUUAAAUCCUACAAGUUUGUUUAUGUGAGGUUUAAUUAAGAUUUAAAUAUCAACAUUUCAAGUUAAUUUAGGGCUUUGAAAAUUUAGAGUCAUAUGCUGUAGAGUUUCUUAAGAAUUGGGCCAUUAACUAUUUUUCAAAAUCAUGGCAUCGCUCAAGCUUCAUGUAAUUGUCCACAGGUCAAUUAAAGGAUGUUUCAAAACCAUUGUUUAUACGGUAGUUCGGUGACUAGCUAUUUGGAGUUACUUUGAUCUUUUGCUGUCCCAAUUACUACUUAUAUGCGGUGAAGGCUCAAUAUGGAGUUCCGUUUGUGGUAGCUCCGGUGUUUUGAGAUUGGGCUCACCUUGGGACCAAACACUUGUGAAUAGGACUUGGAUCCUUUUUCGUCCCCUUCUGUCCCAUUUUUUUGGUUACUAGUAUGUAUUAACUAAAGCCCAUUCACAUAUCUUGAACAAUUCUCCAUUUCUUUGGUGCUUAAUUAGUCAAAUUCUUAAAGUAGUUUCGAGGUGCGCCAGUGAAUAGAAUAUAGCUUAUGGCCCUUAUGAGUUAAUUCCCUCUAGUUAGAAAUGAAUCGAGGCGUGCCAUGCCCAAUAAAACCUUAAAUUGUAUGGCCCUCACUUGAUUAGUAUUCUAAUUCUUAGCAUUCGAGGCACACCAUUUAGCGAAUUUUCCAUGGACCUCGCAAAGUUAAAAAUAUGUAGUUGCUUUAGGCGCGUAAUUAAAAUUACCUUCCUAAACUCGGGUGUGAUCUCACAACGUUGAACAAAGUGUGUCUCGGACUGCAGGUGCAUUUCAUGUGGCGUAGUCCAAAGACGCGUUUUAGAUGGUGUUAAAAUCUUCUUAAAAAUAAUUAAAAGUGAUUAAUACUUUAAAAUUAUAUCAUAGGAUAAAACAUGUAUUAAAAUAUAAUAGGACAAUUAUGAUAGUUUAAGCGACCAUGCUAGAACCACAUAAUCN
rnacentral:lncRNA from 1 species